UACGGAGGGGGCUAGCGUUGUUCGGAAUUACUGGGCGUAAAGCGUGCGUAGACGGUAGCGUAAGUCAGAUGUGAAAGCCCCGGGCUCAACCUGGGAAUUGCAUUUGAGACUGCUCUGCUCGGGUGCGGAAGAGGGAAGCGGAAUUUCCGGUGUAGCGGUGAAAUGCGUAGAUAUCGGAAGGAACACCAGUGGCGAAAGCGGCUUCCUGGUCCGACACCGACGUUCAGGCACGAAAGCGUGGGGAGCAAACAGG
rnacentral:rRNA from 1 species